rnacentral:lncRNA from 1 species
AACUAAUAAGUGAAUUUAGAAAGGCUUCAGUAUACAAGGUUACUAUUUAAAAACCAGUACUAUUUUCAUGCAUUAUCAAUAAAUAUUUAGAAAUUAAAAUUUAAAAGUCUGGUUGCAAUAGAACCAAAACCAUGAAAUACUUAUGAAUAACUUUAACAAAAAACAUUCAAGAUCAGUAUGCAGAAACUAAAAAGCACCCAUGAAAUAAAUCAAAGAUUUAAAUAAGAGAUAUGUCAUGUUCAUAUAUUGGAAGACUAUUGUUAAUUACCAGUUCUUUCCAAACUUAUCUAUAGAUUAAUUUAAAUUCCAACCAAAGUCCCAGCAGGAUUUCUAUUUAAAGAAAUCAACAUAGUGAUUCUCCAGGUGAUCCCAUUUUGUAGCUAGAGUUCCAAACUGCUGCACCAGACUAAAUUUCUUGUGGCCUGGGACCAUCUAAUUUGUUGCUACAUUUCUAGGAUUUGGUACCUGGUUGGCAUUCAGCAUAUGUUUAAUAGAAACAAUAGAUGAGUGAAGGAAUGCAGAAAAGAGGAAGAGGAUCUGGCCAAAACAGGAUCUGAACAUGUUGAAUUUGAGAUGCUGUGAUACAUCCAUGAGAUGCCAUUAUGUCCGGAAUUGGUGGGUUCUUGGUCUUGCUGACUUCAAGAAUGAAGCUGGGACGUUGUGGCCUCUGAGCCCAAGCUAAGCAAUCAUAUCCCCUGUGACCUGCAUGAAUACAUCCAGAUGGCCUGAAGCAACUGAAGAAUCACAAAAGAAGUGAAAAAACCACCAAACAGGUUUGUGUGAGCAAUAUAGCUUUUUAAUCACCCGGGUGCAGGCGGGCUGAGUCUGAAAAGAGAAUCAGCGAAGGGAGAUAAGGGUGGGGCUGUUUUAUAGGAUUUGGGUAGGUAAAGGAAAAUUACAGUCAAAGGGGUUUGUUCUCUGGCGGGCAGGAGUGGGGGUCACAAGAUGCUCAGUGGGGGAGCUCUUUGAGCCAGG